rnacentral:sRNA from 1 species
GGCAAAGAGGGAGAAAAGACCCUAUCAGUGGUAGACAAGCGGAUGGCAACUGCCCUGAACAGCCUGGUGAGAGCUCAGGGCAGACCGGUCCACUCCUCCAGAAACGCCCACGUGUGCAGGAAAUGAAAUUAAGGUUUUUAAGAGACAUACAGAAAACAGCCUGGGAUCGAAUAACUUAACUAAACUAGAACUAAACCAUAAACUUAACUUUGGCUAAAACGUGAGCAUGUCCACAAAGACAAUUUGCAGCUUGGCUGCUCUGGAAGGGACAGGCCGUCUGGAGCCCUGCGGGGACCAUCACGCCCAGACUUACGCCUUGGACACGUCGUGUUCUCCAUACAGCCAGCCAUCCUUCUCCUCGGGGAUGAGCAGCGUGAUGACGUCUCCCUGUGCAAAGCUGAGUAAGGUCUUGUUGGAGCCUGCAGUGUGCGGGAAGAUGGUCUUCACUUUCUGCUUCUUCAUCAUGUUCAGUCCCGUUGCAACCGAAACUGAUCGCUGUAAACUGGGAUCUUCGGAAGUACCUGUUGGAGGGAGUGUAGCAGUAAUGGCUUUUCAAAGCAUGAGAAUCAAGAGGCACAUUCCAAUGAGCAAACCCCAGGAAUCCACCUGUUCUCAUCUUGCCAACAACGCUCCUUCCACGGAAACUGACCCUGUCCUAUUUCCUCGCUUUGAUCAUUGCCCAGAAGGGACAGAGACUGUUGAGAAACAGAGGCAGCAUGCAGCCUGAAGGCAUGCACCAUGCAGAAGAGGAUCCCUGCGGGCUCUUUUCCAGGCCCAAGGACAAGGCAGUGUGUGCCGGGUUGAUCUGCACUCUGCUUUAGCCAGGAUGGCUCUUCUUAGAGAGGCAAACCGCUCCAAUGCCAAACUGCCCUCGCAAUUCCAAUCGCAAAGGCAGGCUAGGGCCACAGUUCAAACCCAAUUGCCAAUGUCCACAAAGAAAAGAAGAAAGCUGGAAAUGCAGUCGGUCUUGCCAUGCUGGCCGCUCAGCUUCUCACCCCCAGGCCUAAGAAGGACGAGGUGAGGAUGAGUUCCAUUUACAAAGUCCUCACCAGGUGCCAGUCACCGAUCUCAAUGUCUCACAGCUGCCACCCCGCCAGGCUCCCAGGAGGAAGGUGCUGCUAUUAUCUACAGGACAGACCCCACAGCUGGCAAGUGGCUGGGCCAGCAACCAGCUAGGGCAGGUUCGUCCCAUACUCUCUACCCAUGAGCACGAGGCUGUGCUGUUCAUGUCUCCAUUCAAACACAGGCUGAUAUUUCCACUCCAGGGAAAAAAAGAUUGAAAAAAAAAAAAAUAUAUAUAUAUAUGUAUGUAUAUACAUUUGAGACAGAGUCUCACUCUGUUGCCCAGGCUGGAGUGCAGUGGCAGGAUCACAGCUCACUGCAGCCUGGACUUCCCAGGCUUAAAGGAUCCUCCCUCCUCAGCCUUCUAAGUAGCUGGGACUACAGGCACACACCGCCAUGCCAGGCUCAUUUUUAAAUUUUUUUGUAGAGACGGUGUCUCGCUAUGUUGCCCAGCCUGGUCUUGACCUCCUGGCCUCAAGUGAUCCUCCCACCUUGGCCUCCCAAAGUGCUGGGAUUACAACUGUGAGCCACUGUUUCUGGCCUUUUUUCCAUUCAAAUUUUCCCAGGCUAGUAAUACAGCAAGCAUCUUUCAUUUAAAACAAUGCAAGAUCUCUGGCUGCUUUAUUCUUGCAGAUUCUUCACGAUUACAACAUAAACCUUGCGCCCCCUUAACCUGCCACUCUCUACCUAGCUGAUGUUGAACCCACCAGCAAUUUUCUUUCUUUUUCGAGACGGAGUCUUGCUCUGUCCCCCAGGCUGGAGUGCAGUGGUGUGAUCUGGGCUCACUGCAACCUCCACCUCCCGGGUUCAAGUGAUUCUCCUGCCUCAGCCUCCUAAGCAGCUGGGAUUACAGGUGCGUGCUACCAUGCUUGGCUCAUUUUUGUAUUUUUAGUAGAGACAGGGUUUCACUAUAUUGGCCAGGCUGGUCUUGAACUUCUGACCUCGAGAUUCACCUGCCUCGGCCUCCCAAAGUGCUGGGAUUACAGGCAUGAGCCACCACGCCCAACCCUCCACCAGCAAUUUUCAUUCUGCUUUUACCAGUAAGAACCAGAGUCAUCAGAAUCACUGGGACGCAUAGAGUAUUACAUACUUUAACCGUGUAUUUUAGUUAACUGACAAGACUUCCUUCAAAGGCAAAUGCCUACACACCAUCAUCUUCCUCUGCUGGGCCAUCCUAGUCAUCAUUCUGGAAAACUCUGUUCUUUUGCCCAAUAGCUUCAAACGCUCUGGUCCAGGGGCUCUCUCUCACAAACAGCUUGACUGCUGCAACCUUCACACCAUGGGGGCCUGUGAGACACCCCAUGUGGAUGGGUUGGGGCCACGGCACAGGUCUCGAGAGUCCUUGGUGCUAAAGACCGUGCAGAAGGACAGGGUCUGACUAGUGAAAAAGCCGGCAACAUCUGCAGACAGUAACUGGCUCCAACUUUUGUUUUUGUCACUGUGUCACCCAGGCUAGAAUGCAGUGGUGUGAUCUCAGCUCACUGCAACCUCCGCCUUCUGGGUGCAAGCGAUUCUCCUGCCUCAGCCUCCCGAGUAGCUGGAAUUAUAGGCAGGCACCACCAUGCCCGGCUAAUUUUUUGUAUUUUUAGUAGCGAUGGGGUUUCAUCAUGUUGGCCAGGCUGGUCUCAAACUCCUGACCUCAGGUGAUCCUCCUGCCUCGGCCUCCCAAAGGGCUGGGAUUACAGGCGUGAGCCACCACGCCUGGCCUCCAUUUAUUUGUAAAUAGGUAAUUCUCAACAGUAUGUUUACUCUGGAUAAACAUCAGUCAGUGCAUAGAACUGGUAAAUGUCAGAGAAAUAUAUCAAUUAUCAGAGCGUCUCACAGUCUAGUCCUGUAUUUCUUCUGAACUCACGCUCUGCAAAGCCAGGGCUGAAUGUAUCCACCAUACCUGCUUGUUUACCUCCAGACCUUGCAAAUACAUUUAUCCAAAAUAUUUAUUUCACAGCUUAUCUUAAAACAAAUGUAAAAGGUAUCUUCAAAUAAAUCAGACUGAAUCUCU